UCAUAUCAUAUCAUAUCAUAUCAUAUCAUUUAUUGCAUUCCAUAAUGUACAUUUGGUGGAAAAUAUAAAAUAAUAGAGGUAGUCACAAUUAUGGACCCUGAUGGGCACAGCAAAGAGUUAGAAGAGAGGAAGGCGUUUAAUGUAAUAAAUUAGGUCACGUCCUCUCGGAGAAGCUAGUAGAGUUGAUCCACAACUGUGAGAAGAAGUAUGACACGAUGACGGACGACUGUGACCGCGUGGUGAAGGUGGCUGCGUGCUUCAAGGUGGACGCCAAGGCGGCCGGCAUCGCGCCCGAAGUCGCCAUGAUAGAGGCCGUCAUGGAGAAGUACUGAUGAUGGAGAGGAACCUGAUGAUAAUGGACCACUCACCGCUUUGAA
rnacentral:lncRNA from 1 species